UUUUCUUAAACUAUAAGUAAUAGGUCAACUAUAUAUGUUGUAUAGAAGCAUUGUUAGCUGUACAUGUCUGCCUGGCAUGGUUCAUCUGACCUUGACCUCAUUUUCAAGGUUCAUUGGUCUAUGUUUAGUUAUCUUGGUUAAUGUUAAGUUUAUGUGACAGUUGUUAUAAAGCUUAGCUUUAUACUAAGGACUAUCAACAUAAUAUCAAUGAUUAGUAUAGAAGGCGAGACAUUUCAGCGUGUGCACUCUUGUUUCUCUAUUCUCUAUUUAUUUAUUUGAUCUUUUUUUUAUACCUAGUACAUUUCUAUAAGUUUUCCACAGUUGCAUAUACAUAUAUUUUAAGUUUCCUUAAAGAUUUAUGCAAUUUUUUAUGUAUAUGGAUUAAUACAUUUAGUUUCAAUCAACUUUAGAAGAGGCUUUGUAAUUUGUUACCCUCUCCUCCAAUAAAAUUCAGAAUUUAAGGAGCAUUAUACAUAACCAUAGCUAAUAUAUAAUGAUAACUUGCAACCAUAUAAAACAUAUUUUCAAUGUGUUUUGAUAACACUUUCAAUUGAAGUGUGAAAAUUUCCAUCUAAGAAAGGUAAUAAAAAAAAAUUAUAAAUACAUCGUAUUAAA
rnacentral:lncRNA from 1 species